AGCUCCAAUAGCGUAUAUUAAAGUUGUUGCGGUUAAAAAGCUCGUAGUUGGAUCUCGGCAGGUAGGGGGCGGUUCGUUUCUGACGGCACUGCCCCAUUUACCUGUGUUUUUGACGGAGGUUUCACGGUGAUUUUCAUCGAUUGUCGUGAUACGCCGUCAGGUUUACUUUGAAAAAAUUAGAGUGCUCAAAGCAGGCUACAAGCUUGAAUAUUUGUGCAUGGAAUAAUGGAAUAGGAAGUCGUUUCUAUUUUUUUGGUUUUCGGAAAUUGACUUAAUGAUUAAUAGGGACAGCCGGGGGCAUUCGUACUCAGACGACAGAGGUGAAAUUCUUGGACCGCCUGAGGACGAGCUACUGCGAAAGCAUUUGCCAAGAGUGUUU
rnacentral:rRNA from 1 species